UCCAUGUUAUGUGGUGGAAAGCUUUUGCGGUGUGGGAUGGGCCCGCGGCCUAUCAGCUUGUUGGUGGGGUAAUGGCCUACCAAGGCGACGACGGGUAGCCGGCCUGAGAGGGUGACCGGCCACACUGGGACUGAGAUACGGCCCAGACUCCUACGGGAGGCAGCAGUGGGGAAUAUUGCACAAUGGGCGCAAGCCUGAUGCAGCGACGCCGCGUGAGGGAUGACGGCCUUCGGGUUGUAAACCUCUUUCAAUAGGGACGAAGCGCAAGUGACGGUACCUAUAGAAGAAGGACCGGCCAACUACGUGCCAGCAGCCGCGGUAAUACGUAGGGUCCGAGCGUUGUCCGGAAUUACUGGGCGUAAAGAGCUCGUAGGUGGUUUGUCGCGUUGUUCGUGAAAACUCACAGCUUAACUGUGGGCGUGCGGGCGAUACGGGCAGACUAGAGUACUGCAGGGGAGACUGGAAUUCCUGGUGUAGCGGUGGAAUGCGCAGAUAUCAGGAGGAACACCGGUGGCGAAGGCGGGUCUCUGGGCAGUAACUGACGCUGAGGAGCGAAAGCGUGGGGAGCGAACAGGAUUAGAUACCCUGGUAGUCCACGCCGUAAACGGUGGGUACUAGGUGUGGGUUUCCUUCCUUGGGAUCCGUGCCGUAGCUAACGCAUUAAGUACCCCCGCCU
rnacentral:rRNA from 1 species